AGUAAGGUCAGCUAAAUAAGCUUUUGGGCC
rnacentral:tRNA from 1 species